AUGGCCUGGACUCCUGUCCUCUCAUGCUCCUGUCUCACUGCACAGGUUCCCCUCCCAGCCUGUGGUGACUCAGCCACCUUACUUCUCUGCUUCUCUGGGAACAAUGGCCAGUCUCACCUGCACCCCAGCAGGGACAUCAGUGUUGGCAGCUCCUACAUGUACUGUGACCAGCAGCAGCCCGGGAGCCAUCCCCAGUAUCUCCUGUACUACUACCCAGACUCAGAUAAGCACCAGGGCCCCGGGGUCCCCAGCCACUUCUCUGGCUCCAGAGAUACCUCUGCCAAUGCAGGGCUCCUGCUCAUCUCCAGGCUGCAGGCUGAGGACGAGGAUGACUAUUACUGUGCGAUCGGGCACAGCAGU